rnacentral:misc_RNA from 1 species
GAUGAAGAACGUAGCGAAAUGCGAUAAGUAAUGUGAAUUGCAGAAUUCAGUGAAUCAUCGAAUCUUUGAACGCACAUUGCGCCCGCCAGUAUUCUGGCGGGCAUGCCUGUCUGAGCGUCAUUUCAACCCUCAUGCCCCUAGGGCGUGGUGUUGGGGAUCGGCCAAAGCCCGCGAGGGACGGCCGGCCCCUAAAUCUAGUGGCGGACCCGUCGUGGCCUCCUCUGCGAAGUAGUGAUAUUCCGCAUCGGAGAGCGAUGAGCCCCUGCCGUUAAACCCCAAACUUUCCAAGGUUGACCUCAGAUCAGGUAGGAAUACCCGCUGAACUUAAGCAUAUCAAUAAGCGGAGGA